GGGAAUUCAAAGUUCACCCAAACGCGUCUGUAUAACGUACCUUGUUCAGCUCCUGCUCAUAGACUCGUCCUCCGCCUGUCUGUGUGGUCCCGGAGGGUCGUGGAAGGAAGUUUCCAAAAUUGAGGUGUGUAUCAGAAAAAAAAAAAAAAAAAAAAAAGAGUAGGAAGCAUCAGAAAAGCAAGGCUUAUCUGAAAAUAAAGUUGUUUUGGGGUGAGCCAAAAGCCUGUGUGUUCAAGGCCUGAUGUUCAAUGAAAUGCUCAAAGAGCUUAAUACAAUGCUCUAUACUGCAGCACCAUCCUGUGCAUGAGGAUGCGGGUUGAAAAAGAAGGAAGAAUGAGAGGACCAGUCAUCACAAGCUCCUGUGUCCAUGUCUUCCCAGCCAUGAUGGAGAUACCCUCGGAUGGUGAACCAAAAUAAAUCCCUUCUUUCCUGACUUCCUCCUGUCAGGGUGUUUCAUCACAGCAUCAUGACAAUAAAUCCCAAGCCACUCUCAAUAAAUCACUCUCAUGCCACAUCUUCUAAUGGAAGAGUCUACCCUACUUAAGAAUAACCUCUUUUGUUAUUUCAGUUUCCAAUGUCAUUUUUCUUCCUUUGCUUUCCUGCUCCAAAUUAAUCUGUGUCACCUCUUCUACUGCCUGUCCUCUGCU
rnacentral:lncRNA from 1 species